rnacentral:rRNA from 1 species
UCCGUAGGUGGAUAAUUAAGUCAGAGGUGAAAUCCUGCAGCUCAACUGUAGAAUUGCCUUUGAUACUGGUUAUCUUGAGUCAUUAUGAAGUGGUUAGAAUGUGUAGUGUAGCGGUGAAAUGCAUAGAUAUUACACAGAAUACCGAUUGUGAAGGCAGAUCACUAAUAAUGUACUGACACUGAUGGACGAAAGCGUGGGGAGCGAACAGGAUUAGAUACCCUGGUAGUCC